UUUGACAUGGCAGUAGGAGAGCAUCUUCUUAGCCCAGGCUUUCUUUAGAAGUCAGGAGAGAGAAGACUCAGUCUUCACAGUCUCACCAGAUAUAGAGAAGCUUCUGAGUUUCUGCACAAUUCAUCCUGCCCAACACUACUAGUCUGCUCAAAUGCCUGCAAGAUCGGAGAUGCUUCUGAGCUGGGAAGGAAAGCAUUCCGUUAACUGUUUCCUGGCUUGUGAUGGAUUUGAAGGGAAGCAAAUAAUUCCUACUUCAACAAUCUCCAGGAAUAUACCCAUGAAAGACAAAAGGGCCUAACCACUGAGUCAGCCUGAAUAUGUACUAAUAUGACUUAUGCUGAAGAAAUAUGAAUGUUGCCUUUCAAAAUGUGAAGCAUGAUCUUCAUCUGCCAAGAUACCAGAAUAUUAUGAGCUUAUGAACAUAAUGGUGUAGGACACAGAAGACAAGACGACCAUCAUCAUUCCUUAUAUAGAUUUAAAGAUGCUGACUUCUAUAUAUGAAACAAACAAACAAACAAAAAACCCAAACCUAUAAGACAAGUCUGUCAGUCAGAUUGCCAAUCAAAUGCCAAGAAAUAGAAGCAAAAAGACCAUGGCAAAAAUUCUUGUCUGCAGAUAUCAAAUCAAGAGCUGUUUCCCUUGACAAUGAAGUGGAGAAUCUUUAGACCAUUCUAAAUACCCAGAGCAAGGGCUUGGAGGCUCUGACAUGUUUGAACUGGUGGGUGUUUUUACAUGGGUGCAAACAGAAGAUGAUGCUCUGGGAUGACUGUUGUAAGUGAAG